UAUUGAUGAGGCCGAGGCACAACAUUGCCCCGCCCUCCGCGCGCGAGCUGGGUUUUCGAUCGCACCACCACGCCAUUUUCCAUCGACGAGCGGAAAAAGGAACGUUACAAUUGAAGACGCGCCGGCGAUACUGUGCUCCGAAAUACAAUAAAUACGAUCCAGCCAUGCACCGUGAAUGUCCACUCGACUGCAAGGUCUACGUUGGAAAUCUGGGAAACAAUGGAAACAAGACAGAGCUAGAGAGGGCUUUUAGUUACUACGGGCCUCUUCGGAGCGUCUGGGUGGCGAGAAACCCCCCAGGCUUUGCCUUUGUAGAAUUUGAAGACCCCAGAGAUGCUUCCGAUGCCGUGCGAGAGCUUGACGGGAGAACAUUAUGCGGUUGCCGCGUGCGAGUGGAGCUGUCCAACGGCGAGAAGCGCAGCCGCACCCGUGGGGCUCCCCCUUCGUGGAGCCGGCGCCCCCGAGACCGAGAUGACUACAGGCGGCGUAGCAGCCCACCGCCGAGGCGAAGAGCCACCACCAUGCCUCUUCUCACCACCCUCAGAGUCAAUCAACUAGUCCUCUUUCAGCAUCAUGUGACUGCUGACCAUCGUGCCUCAAUCAGCUUGGCUGGUGCUGUCACAUGACCCAGGCACGGCCAGUCGUCAGGUUGCCACCAGGCCAUUGGUUCCUCAUCAUGCUCUUCUCAACCACCUCCUCCUCCAACCUUAACCCAAACGACAGCGGCCCCACCUCACAUUCCAAUCGGCGUAUCGCGUUUCCAAAUGUCGACAAGCUACCUACCAGCGGCAGCCGUCGGCUAACCAAUUAAAGCAGGGAAAAAGUCCACAGCCAGCCCCCACCUGCCUGCCACCUUAUCACCUCGCAGCAUCUGGCCAGGCCUAUUCAGCCAAUUCUACCUACCCGGCCGACAGUCUGCCUCCCUUUCGUCAUAUCUAGCUUGUUGAAAACCAAAAAUACUAGUAAGUUUUCCUGCUUCAUUCAGUUCACUGAUAACAGUUUUAAAAGUGAAGACAGAGCUGGGUUACAAAAGGUUGUUCUUUCUUUCUUUUCAAUUAUGAUUUACAUUUACAUAAGUUUGCCAUUUUGUCACCCAUUACUGUAGUUUCUUGUUUCAAAGGGUAAAGAGUCCACCACCACCAAAUAUCUGGAACUUUGUGUCCAGACAUUUUGAUUCUAAGUUUUUUGUCCCGGGGCUCUGAGCACAGUUAUGUGGUUUUAUCACAUUGUAGCCUGUUUUUUGUCAAGGUAUAUCACUUUGUAUUUGCUUAUGUUGUCUGUGUGACAGCCCACAGUGCAGUGCUCCAUCCUCAGAUAAUGACAGGUGGCACAUCUUACUCUGCUAUCAUGGAUGGACAUUGUACUGUGGCCACAUUCUGAGGACUAUUCUAGUUCUAUAUGGCCCCAUGCUAGUAGUUCAAGUGUUACAUAUACUUUUGUUGACGGAAGCCCACAUACUAACGUGCUUUCUAGCCGUGACGGAUGUGUCCGUUGAGGUUCUUAACAUCUUCACAUUUUCCCUGCACAGAUCUCCACGCAGGAGGAGCUUUAGUCGUAGUCGCAGCAGGUCUUUCUCUAGAGACAGGAGAAGGGAGAGGUCCCUCUCCCGGGACAGGAACCACAAACCUUCGAGGUCCUUCUCUCGAUCAAGGAGUCGCUCCAGAUCAAAUGACAGGAAGUAGAAGA